rnacentral:rRNA from 1 species
UACAGAGGGUGCAAACGUUGCUCGGAAUUAUUGGGCGUAAAGCGCAUGUAGGCGGCACGAUAAGUUCACUGUGAAAGCCCUUGGCUCAACCAAGGAAGUGCAGUGAAAACUGUCGAGCUAGAGUUCUGAAGAGGGUCGCGGAAUGGCCAGUGUAGAGGUGAAAUUCGUAGAUAUUGGCUAGAACACCAGUGGCGAAGGCG